rnacentral:rRNA from 1 species
AGCGGGAUGAGCUCAAAUUUGUAAUCUGGCGGCCUCUGGUCGUCCGAGUUGUAGUCUGGAGAAGCGUUUUCCGCGUCGGACCGUGUACAAGUCCCUUGGAACAGGGCGUCGUAGAGGGUGAGAAUCCCGUCUUUGACACGGACUGCCGAUGCUUUGUGAUGCGCUCUCGAAGAGUCGAGUUGUUUGGGAAUGCAGCUCAAAACGGGUGGUAAAUUCCAUCUAAAGCUAAAUAUGGGCGAAAGACCGAUAGCGAACAAGUACCGUGAGGGAAAGAUGAAAAGCACUUUGGAAAGAGAGUUAAACAGUACGUGAAAUUGUUGAAAGGGAAACGCUUGAAGUCAGUCGCGUCUCCUGGGACUCAGCCUUGCUUCUGCUUGGUGUACUUCCUGGGACGACGGGCCAGCAUCGAUUUUGAUCGUCGGAGAAAGGCCUUGGGAACGUGGCACCUUUGGGUGUGUUAUAGCCCUUGGUCGUAUGCGACGGUUGGGAUCGAGGACCGCAGCACGCCUUUUUGGCCGGGGUUCGCCCACGUACGUGCUUAGGAUGCUGGCGUAAUGGCUUUAAGCGACCCGUCUUGAAACACGGACCAAGGAGUCUAACAUGCCUGCGAGUGUUUGGGUGGUAAACCCGGACGCGAAAUGAAAGUGAAAAGUUGGGACCUCUGUCGUGGAGGGCACCGACGCCCGGACCAGACCUUCUGUGACGGUUCCGAGGUAGAGCAUGCAUGCUGGGACCCGAAAGAUGGUGAACUAUGCUUGAGUAGGGUGAAGCCAGAGGAAACUCUGGUGGAGGCUCGUAGCGAUUCUGACGUGCAAAUCGAUCGUCGAAC